GCUACCUUGCCUUCCUGAUGUACUCUGCCCCCUGCAGCUGUAAGCCGAGACACGCCCUUCCAUCCUAAACUUGCCUUUGUCAGGAAGAAGAAAAGACUAUCAUGGUGAUGUGGACUGAGACUUCAGACACUAUAGACCGUGUGAAAUCCAGGCUGUGAAAGUGGCUCAAGUGGGUGAAGCACUUGCCUUAUGUGUGUGAGGACCUGCAUUUGAGUCUCCAGCACUCCUCCUGGGAUGUGGGAAGUGGAGAAUCAAUCCCCUGGAGCAGGCAGUUGAGUACCAGAAUGGGUAUGUGGCGAUCAAGAGAUAACCUGGAGCGUUCACUCACUCCUUCAAUGUGGGACCCAGGGAUCAAACUCACGUCCUCAGCACUUGACAGCAAGUGCCUUUAUUUUGCCCCUGAGCCAUCUCACUGACUCUGGCACGCCAUAUAUUUAAUCAGUAACUUUUUUUUUCUUGUUAGUAAUAAAUAAUGAAUAAAUAAAUAAA
ensembl:lincRNA Gm14216 predicted gene 14216